AGAACGAACGCUGGCGGCAUGCCUAACACAUGCAAGUCGAACGAUGCUUUCGGGCAUAGUGGCGCACGGGUGCGUAACGCGUGGGAAUCUGCCCUUGGGUUCGGAAUAACAGUGGGAAACUACUGCUAAUACCGGAUGAUAUCGCGAGAUCAAAGAUUUAUCGCCCGAGGAUGAGCCCGCGUAGGAUUAGCUAGUUGGUGAGGUAAUGGCUCACCAAGGCGACGAUCCUUAGCUGGUCUGAGAGGAUGAUCAGCCACACUGGGACUGAGACACGGCCCAGACUCCUACGGGAGGCAGCAGUGGGGAAUAUUGGACAAUGGGCGCAAGCCUGAUCCAGCAAUGCCGCGUGAGUGAUGAAGGCCUUAGGGUUGUAAAGCUCUUUUACCAGGGAUGAUAAUGACAGUACCUGGAGAAUAAGCUCCGGCUAACUCCGCGCCAGCAGCCGCGGU
rnacentral:rRNA from 1 species